GCCGCCCCCGCCGCCACAGGGUCGCGGGCCACCGCCGCGCUGCCUCCUCCCCUCAGGGGGCGGCAGCUCCCUGGCCAUGCCCUGCGGCGGAGGGGCCCCGGGGGCGGGGGUUGCCUCCGUUUUUCAUUCCCGCCUCUCCUUUUCGGUGCUCCCUGCCGGCAGGUUUCGCACGGCGCGGCCUGGCAGCGUUGAGGCGCCUGAGCCGGCUUCCCCGUGGGCUGUCAGGGCGGGCAGGGGGCAAGGGCGCCAGGAGGAGCCUGGCUUGCGGGGCACCGGCAAGCGAGUAGCCUGAGGGCGAUAGCGGGAGAGGUUGAGGGGAGCCGUCGAGUCAGUUGGGUUUCGUGUCGGUUGGGGUUGUCUGUUGGGGUCUGUGGUGGCCAGAAAAUGUCUGCAGAGCUGCUGACUUUUUUAGAGAGGUCUAAAGGGGGCAAAGAGCAGGGGGUGACAGGAAGGCGAGAGCCAAGCCGGCCUGAAGCCGUGUCGUGAAUUGGGACAAGGAGUCAAAAGAUCCGUGAGAUUUUUUAAGUUCUCAGUAAAGAUCGUCGGUGAGAUACCAUGGGAGUCCGGAUGUCAGCAGCCUCCGCAGUCUGUGUAAAGAAAGAAGUAAAGUAACUGCCAUUGUGCCAUCAGACCAGGCGUCAGUAUCAGAUACAGGGAGAUGGAAUAAUGCACCUUACUGUCAGAAGGAAGAAAGAAUCUUUGAAAUCUUAUUUGAGGAGGUAGUCAUCCUGCAUGCAGAUCACAGGAUUAGAGGUAUGCAGGGAGUAUGCUGAGCAAAAGACCCUGAAUGAAGGCUGCUACAAAGCUGCUGUGGAUAUACUGCAUUGGUUUCAGUCAGCUUUGCACAGAGGCAAAACUGUCCCCUCAUGUUCAAUAACUGGUUAAAUAACGGGAACACUUUUUUAUUUCCUUACAGAGCCCAUUAGCAAAAAUUUAGAUGCAGACUCCACCUCUGAGUUUGGAGUCUGCCUGAUUAAAGUCAUUUCUCCUCCCUUUCUGCUAACAAUCAGCAAUUGUUUGACACUCCUGUAACACUUCUUUAAUAAAGCCACUGGUAAUAACAGCACAUUUACCAAAAGAUUAAUGUAAAAUUCUCCCUGAAUUAUUGAAUUUACUGUUACUUGGGGUGUCUUCUGUUAUAAGUGGAAAUUGCAAGGAGACACUCUAUUAGUACCCUGCCAAUGUGUGUGUCAGUCGCAACACCCUUUAGAAUAACUGGGAGAAAUUGACUGUGCAUUCUUCCAUACAAUAACAAGACAUUAUUACAACAUAACAAUGUUUGUCAGAUUAAUUUGAAAGCAGAAUUUGUUGUGAUUUAAACCAUGAAAAGAAAAUGAGUUCUGAAAAUACUUCUUUAUACUUGUUUCUUCUAACAGCCUAAUUUCUUGGGAGGACUUUCUAAUCAAUGUAAUCUGGUGUGACUUCAUUAACUCACCAUUUCAAGAAGAUAGUCCGAUAUAUUUUCUUGAUCAGUAGCAGUAGAUAAAAAUACUAAACUUCUCUUUCUUUAACUGCAACACCAACGACAAGCAUGUGAAUUUAAAUACAGUAAUACAAACGCCAGCAUAUUGCAGGUUAACAGUGUGUAGUCCAGAAACAAACAAAAAAGAAACUUAAUAUUCCAGGACAAAACAGUUACACUUACUUUGUAUAAAAAGCCAUAAUAACCUUGUUAGCAAUGACUUUGUGCAGUUCAUGUGAGAAUAUCUAAGAUUAAAAAGCAAUACUGACUAAAGCUAUGUAAAAAUCCUUGGCAAAAGCUGUUAUCGACCUAAUCAUUCAAAUAAAGUAGCAA
ensembl:lncRNA